GGCUGAUGUCCUCAAGGGCUCUAGCCCAAAAUGUCCCCUUGCUGGAGUUAGUUCUGCGUGCCCCUAAUAGGGAAACUGAGGCUCAAGAAGAGGAAGUGGCUUGUCUUAAGAUCACACAAAUUAGAAGUGCUGGGGAGUCAGAGCUUCAACACAGCUGUCAGGCUUUCUCUGUUAGUUGCUGCUAACACUGGUAUU
rnacentral:lncRNA from 1 species